GUAGGUGAACCUGCGGAAGGAUCAUUAUCGUAGGGCUUCGGCCCUGUCGAGAUAGAACCCUUGCCUUUAUGAGUACCGUCCGUUUCCUCGGCAGGCCCGCCUGCCGAUGGACCCAAAACCAAACCCUUUUAUUACCUGUAUCAGUCUGAAAAAUAAACAAAAAUUAAAACUUUCAACAACGGAUCUCUUGGUUCUG
rnacentral:misc_RNA from 1 species